rnacentral:rRNA from 1 species
GGGGCGUAGCAAUACGUUCGCUGGCGACCGGCAAACGGGUGCGGAACACGUACACAACCUUCCUUAAAGUGGGGGAUAGCCCGGGGAAACCCGGAUUAAUACCCCGUAACAUAGUGAAGUGGCAUCGCUUUAUUAUUAUAGCAGUAAUGCGCUUAAAGAUGGGUGUGCGACUGAUUAGGCAGUUGGCGGGGUAACGGCCCACCAAACCUACGAUCAGUAACUGGUGUGAGAGCACGACCAGUCACACGGGCACUGAGACACGGGCCCGACUCCUACGGGAGGCAGCAGUAAGGAAUAUUGGUCAAUGGACGCAAGUCUGAACCAGCCAUGCCGCGUGGAGGAUGAAGGUCCUCUGGAUUGUAAACUUCUUUUACCUGGGAAGAAAUCCACAAAUUCUUUUGUGGUUGACGGUACCAGGUGAAUAAGCACCGGCUAACUCCGUGCCAGCAGCCGCGGUAAUACGGAGGGUGCAAGCGUUAUCCGGAUUCACUGGGUUUAAAGGGUGCGUAGGUGGGUUGGUAAGUCAGUGGUGAAAUCUCCAGGCUUAACUUGGAAACUGCCAUUGAUACUAUCAAUCUUGAAUACCGUGGAGGUCAGCGGAAUAUGUCAUGUAGCGGUGAAAUGCUUAGAUAUGACAUAGAACACCAAUUGCGAAGGCAGCUGGCUACGCGGAUAUUGACACUGAUGCACGAAAGCGUGGGGAUCAAACAGGAUUAGAUACCCUGGUAGUCCACGCCCUAAACGAUGGAUACUCGACAUACGCGAUAUACUGUGUGUGUCUGAGCGAAAGCAUUAAGUAU